ACAUUAUUAGCUCGGAAUGCCUUUGGGCAGUGGGGAACCCAUCUUUCAGGGGUAAAUCUUAAAUUAUUAAUAAGGGAUACUUGGAAGUCCUAACCCGUCAACUAACUUCAUAGGAGUACACCAUGCGUAUAA
rnacentral:sRNA from 2 species